GACAGAGAGAGAGAUUUGUCUUUAUUGUUGUUGUUUUUGCUCAUUUAGUGAAUAAAAUUAUAGUUUAUGCUAGGUUGUUGAUGAAUUUUAUAGUAUAAAACACUAGUUUGCCCGAUUUAUAGGUUACCUUUUUUUCUAAUUUUUAUUUAUUUUGGAAAUUAUUUUUAGUAAAAUACAUAAGUAAUUGAACGAUAUCUUUUCAGUGGUAAUAAAGUCCAUUCUUUACCAUCUACCUAGUUAUUUUUGUUUUAAAUUGAUUAAUGC
rnacentral:misc_RNA from 1 species